rnacentral:rRNA from 1 species
UACGUAGGGUGCGAGCGUUGUCCGGAAUUAUUGGGCGUAAAGAGCUCGUAGGCGGUCUGUCGCGUCGGUCGUGAAAACCUGCAGCUUAACUGUGGGCGUGCGGUCGAUACGGGCAUGACUGGAGUUCGGCAGGGGAGACUGGAAUUCCUGGUGUAGCGGUGAAAUGCGCAGAUAUCAGGAGGAACACCGGUGGCGAAGGCGGGUCUCUGGGCCGUAACUGACGCUGAGGAGCGAAAGCGUGGGGAGCGAACAGG